GCUAGGGUAAGGUUUAAGGUUUUUCAGCGUGAGGGUAAAAAUCACUGUCCAAAACCUUUGUAGGAACUAUUUUCCAACCUUUGGGAAUUAGUUAGACAAAAAAAAUAAGAUAAAUGAAAAAAAAAUUUUUGGGGUGUUCGGGCUUCCUGAAGGUAAUACCCGGGUAUUAGGUUUUGGGGCUAGGGUAAGGUUUAAGGUUUUUGGUGUUAGGGUUAAAAUAACUGUCCAAAACCUUUGUAGGAACUCUUUUCCAACCUUUUGGAGUUAGUUAGACCAAAAAAAAAAAAAAAAAAGAAAAAAAUAUAUUUGGGGUGUUCGGGCUUCCUGAAGGUAAUACCCGGGUAUUAGGUUUUGGGGUUAGGGUAAGGUUUAAGGUUUUUGGUGUUAGGGUUAAAAUCACUGUCCAAAACCUUUUUAGGAACAUGUUUCAGACCUUUUGGAGUUGGUAACACCAAAAAAAAAUGUAAAAUAAAAAAAAAUAUUUGGGGUGUUC